rnacentral:rRNA from 1 species
AACGAACGCUGGCGGCAGGCUUAACACAGGCAAGUCGAGCGCCCCGCAAGGGGAGCGGCAGACGGGUGAGUGACGCGUGGGAAUCUACCCAUCUCUACGGAAUAACGCAUGGAAACGUGUGCUAAUACCGUAUACGUCCUUCGGGAGAAAGAUUGAUCGGAGAUGGAUGAGCCCGCGUUGGAUUAGCUAGUUGGUGGGGUAAAGGCCUACCAAGGCGACGAUCCAUAGCUGGUCUGAGAGGAUGAUCAGCCACACUGGGACUGAGACACGGCCCAGACUCCUACGGGAGGCAGCAGUGGGGAAUAUUGGACAAUGGGCGCAAGCCUGAUCCAGCCAUGCCGCGUGAGUGAUGAAGGCCCUAGGGUUGUAAAGCUCUUUCACCGGUGAAGAUAAUGACGGUAACCGGAGAAGAAGCCCCGGCUAACUUCGUGCCAGCCGCCGCGGUAAGAC